UACGAAGGGGGCUAGCGUUGUUCGGAAUUACUGGGCGUAAAGCGCGCGCAGGCGGUUCGAUAAGUUGGGGGUGAAAUCCCCGGGCUCAACUCGGGAAUGGCCUUCAAGACUGUCGAGCUAGAGGACGAGAGAGGUGAGUGGAAUUCCCAGUGUAGAGGUGAAAUUCGUAGAUAUUGGGAAGAACACCGGUGGCGAAGGCGGCUCACUGGCUCGUUUCUGACGCUGAGGCGCGAAAGCGUGGGGAGCAAACAGG
rnacentral:rRNA from 1 species